GUCCACGCCGUAAACGAUGUCUACUAGCCGUUGGGGAACUUGAUUCUUUAGUGGCGCAGCUAACGCGAUAAGUAGACCGCCUGGGGAGUACGGCCGCAAGGUUAAAACUCAAAUGAAUUGACGGGGGCCCGCACAAGCGGUGGAGCAUGUGGUUUAAUUCGAAGCAACGCGAAGAACCUUACCUACUCUUGACAUCCAGUGAACUUGGUAGAGAUACCUUGGUGCCUUCGGGAACACUGAGAC
rnacentral:rRNA from 1 species